UAGGGAAUCUUCGGCAAUGGACGAAAGUCUGACCGAGCAACGCCGCGUGAGUGAAGAAGGUUUUCGGAUCGUAAAACUCUGUUGUUCGAGAAGAACAAGGACGUUAGUAACUGAACGUCCCCUGACGGUAUCUAACCAGAAAGCCACGGCUAACUACGUGCCAGCAGCCGCGGUAAUACGUAGGUGGCAAGCGUUGUCCGGAUUUAUUGGGCGUAAAGCGAGCGCAGGCGGUUGCUUAAGUCUGAUGUGAAAGCCCCCGGCUCAACCGGGGAGGGUCAUUGGAAACUGGGAGACUGGAGUGCAGAAGAGGAGAGUGGAAUUCCAUGUGUAGCGGUGAAAUGCGUAGAUAUAUGGAGGAACACCAGUGGCGAAGGCGGCUAUCUGGUCUGUAACUGACGCUGAGGCUCGAAAGCGUGGGGAGCAAACAGG
rnacentral:rRNA from 1 species